AGUGAACGCUUGCGGUAAGCUUUACACAUGCUAGUCGAACGAAAUUUAGAAAGAUAUUUUUUAGCAAAGUAUCUUUUAUAUAGGUUUAGUGGCGUAAGGGUGAGUAAGUAUAAGAAUCCACAAUCAGAGGUGGCAAAAGAUCCAUCAUAAGAAUUUUGACAUAAAAAUUGUUUUUAUAAAAAAUUGAAUAAAGAUUUUGUAUUACUGAUAAAGGAGUUUAUAUAGGAUUAGGUAGUUGGAGUCGUAAAAGCCUUCCAAGCCAAUGAUCCUUAGCUGGACUGAGAGGUUGGUCAGCCACAUUGGGAGUGAGAAGAGGCCCAGCUUUUUAUAAGGCAGCAGUGUGGAAUAUUGGACAAUGAACGAAAGUUUGAUCCAGCUAUACCGCGUGGAUGAUAGAAGGCGAAUGCUGUAAAAUCCUUUCAGUGGGUUUAUGAAAGUGACAAUAAACCACAGAAGAAAUCCCGACUAACUUCGUGCCAGCAGUCGCGGUAAUACGGGGGGGAUUAGUGUUAUUCUUCGUGACUGGGCGUAAAGGGUGCGUAGGCGGUUUUGCAAGUUUAAAUCAAAAAAUCUUAGCGUAACUCAGAAAUUGGUUUUUAUACUACAAAACUAGAGGUCAGGAGAGGUUAGUUGUAUUCUUGGAGUAAAAGUGGAAUUUAAAGAUACCAAGAGGACAACCGAAGGCAGAGGCAACUUGCUAGAAUGAUACUGACGCUGAGGCACAAAAGCGUGGGGAUCAAACAGGAUUAGAGACCCUGGUAGUCCACGCCCUGACCGAUGAAUGUUAGGUGUUGGGAUAAUACAUUCCAGCAUUUAAGCUAACGCGUAAACAUUCCGCCUGGGUAGUAAAGUCGCAAGGUUAAAACUCAAAGGAAUUGACGGAGGUCCGAACAAGCGGUGGAGCAUCUGGUUUAAUGCGAUAUAACGCGCAAAACCUUACCAGUCUUUGAAUCAUUGUUUAAGUCUUACAGGAGGCAAAAUAUUUAUUCUUUGUAUUAAGUAUUUGAACAAUAGUCAGGUGCUGCAUGGCUGUCGUUAGCUCGUGUUUUGAGAUGUUUGGUUGGCUCCAUUAACGGGCGCAACCCUUAUUCUUAUUUGCGUAAAUUUAGGAUAAUUUUAUAAGAUAAGAAAACUGCCGAUAUUAAAUGAAUGGAGGAAGGUGAGGAUGACGUCAAGUCAGUAUGGCCUUAAUAGACUGGGCUACACAGGUGCUACAACGGUGAUGCCAAAGGGAAGCAAUAGCGCGAGUUGGAGCAAAUCCCAAAAAAGUUACCUUAGUUCGAAUUGUUCUCUGAAACUGGGAGCAUGAAGGAGGAAUCGCUAGUAAUCGUAAAACAGCAUGUUACGGUGAAUUUGUAUCCGGACUUAGUACACACCGCCCGUCACGCCAUGGGAACUGGUUCAUUGAAAAUAGAUAGUCAUUUCAGUAAUACUUUUCAUAUGCAUAAUUAUUAUAAUUUUUGGGCGAGUUAGAAAACAUUUUAGCUUGUUCAAGUGGGAAGUACGUAGGGGUAGUUUAUUAAGGCUGGAUUGGUUACUGGGGCG
rnacentral:rRNA from 1 species